rnacentral:rRNA from 1 species
AACGAACGCUGGCGGCAGGCUUAACACAUGCAAGUCGAGCGGGCAUCCUGGUGGUGUCCGCGGCAGACGGGUGAGGAAAGCGUGGGAACGUGCCCUUCGGUUCGUAAUCACUCAUGGGAACUUGAGCUAAUACCGGAUACCUCCUACUGGGGAAAGGUUGACUGCCGAAGGUUCGGCCCGCGUCUGAUUUGCUGGUUGGUGAGGUCAUGGCUCACCAAAGCUACUAUCUGUACCUGGUCUGAGAGGAUGAUCAGCCACACUGGGACUGAGACACGGCCGACAAUCCUACGCAGGGCAGCAGUAGAGUAUAUAAGGGGCUGGGGCCUAAUCUAGCAAAGCCGUGCCGGGUGCGAGAUACUGGCGUUAGGGUUGCAAAGCUCUUUUCGCCGAGACGAUAAUGACGGUACCUGAGGAAAAAGCCCCGGCUAACUACGUG